GAUGAAGAACGUAGCGAAAUGCGAUAAGUAAUGUGAAUUGCAGAAUUCAGUGAAUCAUCGAAUCUUUGAACGCAUCUUGCGCCCCCUGGCAUUCCGGGGGGCAUGCCUGUUCGAGCGUCAUUACAACCCUCAAGCUCUGCUUGGUAUUGGGCUCUGCUGGGACCGGCAGGCCUUAAAAUCAGUGGCGGCGCCACUCGGCUUCAAGCGUAGUAAUUCUUCUCGCUUCGGAGACCCGGGUGCGUGCUAGCCAGCAACCCCCAACUUUCUUAGGUUGACCUCGGAUCAGGUAGGGAUACCCGCUGAACUUAAGCAUAUCAAUAAGCGGAGGA
rnacentral:misc_RNA from 1 species